rnacentral:lncRNA from 10 species
GUUCAGACAUACUUUAACAGGAAAAAUACCAGGUGCGAUGAUGUGCGCCUGCAGUCCCAACUACAGGGGGCUAAGGAAGGAGGACCACUUGAGCCUGUGAAUAGCCAGUGCACUCCAGCCUGUCUUUAAAAACAAAAAACUGCCCUAUCCUGCUUUGUAUCAGGAAAUGACAUUGUGAUUCAUUUCACUACAAGUAGAAUAUUACAAAAUAUUUAUAGGAAAAUAUCAAAAAAUAACUCAAAAACAAAAGGCAAGGUAAAAUAAACUCGUUUUUCAGAAAUCUCUCGCUCCAGUGCCCACAGCACACAAAAAGAGAGUCAAAACAAAUAAGUAACUGAGAUCCUCGAUCACAAAUCUCCAAAGAACUGGAAAAGGGGAAGAAACAGGAUGAAAAUGGUGGUACAAAAAGGAAUGGAUGUGGCAGCACUGUUUCAAUAGCCAAUCGAUUCUGAAUGAGAUACCCUCUCUUAUAUGUAGUAAAUUCUGAACAAGGCUAAACUUUAGGAUAGCCCUUGAACUGAAAUAAGGUGUCACAGUAACCCUUCCAGCUUUCAUGAAAGUCCCAAAACAUCAUCCUUGGUCUGUACUGAGACAGGAAUGGAAGAACCAGAUUUGAGAGCUGCUUUGGCAAGAGGCACAGCAGAAUCAUCCACUGACUUUUCUUGGAGGAGUGGCAGUAGCCCUUUCAUUUUCCCGAUCUACUCUCAAUGCCAUGGGCACAAAUCAAAAUCCUGAAUUGAAAAGAAAACAAGAAUAAUAGCAGGAGAAGGCUCACACCCUCUACUUUAAAUUUUGACUUCUGUUGCUUUAUGAGAACGUCAAUGAAUCUGAGCAUGGUAAAAUGGCCUUGCCUUUGAUUUGCCAAGAUGUAAGGGCUAAUCACCAACAAGAAAUGCACAAAGCUUACAGUUUAAGAGCAUGUGUUUGAAGAGCAUGCGUUUGUAUUUGAGCGGACCUGAGUUCAAGUUUUGGCUCUGGCAUUAGUAGCUCCAUAACCUCGGAAAAGCCUCUAACCUCUCUGUGUUCUACAAAAUGAGAAUUAUCACUCUAACUACCUUGUAAGGUUGUGAUGAAGAUGAAAGACGACAACACGUUAAAGUGGUCAACACGGUACCCAGUAUGUUGACCAUGUUUAAUCAAUUUAGCUAUGAUUACUGUUUAUUAUUGCCAUUCUUCUCUUAGACCUUCUAAAGUUAAGGUAAAGGGCUCUGAAGUCCCUAUGCUGUAGCUGCUCCUAAACUGAAAAUGCCCUCAUCCUCUGACCCUCCUUGGUUAACAAUAUCUUGAGCAGUGCAUCACAACUUCGGUAAAAGGUUCUGAUUUUAAAGUUUAUAAAUUUAGAGAAUGUUGAUAUUUACUAUGCUGUAUUUUUUACUGUGUACUAUUUUAGUUUUUACUAAUAAAAUAGAAACCUAAACUCAGACAACUGCUUUAUUCUUGCAUCUAAUCUGACCAUAUAUUGUAGAAGCAAUUCUUUAUAAUGGGACUUAGGUGAGAGCUGUCAAUACAUCAGUUUGGCC